CCUACGGGUGGCAGCAGUGAGGAAUAUUGGUCAAUGGACGAGAGUCUGAACCAGCCAAGUAGCGUGAAGGAUGACUGCCCUAUGGGUUGUAACCUUCUUUUAUAUGGGAAUAAAAUGUUCCACGUGUGGGAUUUUGUAUGUACCAUAUGAAUAAGGAUCGGCUAACUUCGUGCCAGCAGCCGAGGUAAUACGGAGGAUCCGAGCGUUAUCCGGAUUUAUUGGGUUUAACGGGAGCGUAGGUGGAUUGUUAAGUCAGUUGUGAAAGUUUGCGGCUCAACCGUAAAAUUGCAGUUGAAACUGGCAGUCUUGAGUACAGUAGAGGUGGGCGGAAUUCGUGGUGUAGCGGUGAAAUGCGUAGAUAUCACGAAGAACUCCGAUGGCGAAGGCAGCUCACUGGACUGCAACUGACACUGAGGCUCGAAAGUGUGGGUAGCAAACAGGAUUAGAUACCCUAGUAGUC
rnacentral:rRNA from 1 species